GAAACUUUAGAGCCCGAAGAAGCUAUUAAAAUGAUCAUUCAAACAUAGUAAAAUCUCUUUAGUUUGGUGUGUUUUCAAUCAAACUCAUGAUGCUAAGAACAUCAAUACAGAUACAAACAUGGAUCAAACACAUGUACUAAACAGAGCAAUUCAAAAGAGUUUGACUUUUGAUGAUCCAGAGAUGGACAAAUUACUUAUUCGAAAAACCCAUUUUGAGAAUAAGAAGAAAUAUCCAAGAAACUGUAACAUAGAACCCAAUUAAGCAAUAAAGACUUGAGAGGAAAUAGUUACCAGAAUUAGCAUGUGGGCUAUGGUUGCUAUUAUCCACUUUAGC